UGAUCGGCACACUGAACUGAGACACGUCCAGACUCCUACGGAGCAGCAGUAGGAAUCUCCGCAAUGGACGAAAGUCUGACGAGCAACGCCGCGUGAGUGAUGAAGGUUUCGGAUCGUAAAACUCUGUUAUUAGGGAAGAACAAAUGUGUAAGUAACUGUGCACAUCUUGACGGUACCUAAUCAGAAAGCCACGGCUAACUACGUGCCAGCAGCCGCGGUAAUACGUAGGUGGCAAGCGUUAUCCGGAAUUAUUGGGCGUAAAGCGCGCGUAGGCGGUUUCUUAAGUCCGAUGUGAAAGCCCACGGCUCAACCGUGGAGGGUCAUUGGAAACUGGGAAACUUGAGUACAGAAGAGGAAAGUGGAAUUCCAUGUGUAGCGGUGAAAUGCGCAGAGAUAUGGAGGAACACCAGUGGCGAAGGCGACUUUCUGGUCUGUAACUGACGCUGAUGUGCGAAAGCGUGGGGAUCAAACAGGAUUAGAUACCCUGGUAGUCCACGCCGUAAACGAUGAGUGCUAAGUGUUAGGGGGUUUCCGCCCCUUAGUGCUGCAGCUAACGCAUUAAGCACUCCGCCUGGGGAGUACGACCGCAAGGUUGAAACUCAAAGGGAUUGACGGGGACCCGCACAAGCGGUGGAGCAUGUGGUUUAAUUCGAAGCAACGCGAAGAACCUUACCAAAUCUUGACAUCCUUUGAAAACUCUAGAGAUAGAGCCUUCCCCUUCGGGGGACAAAGUGACAGGUGGUGCAUGGUUGUCGUCAGCUCGUGUCGUGAGAUGUUGGGUUAAGUCCCGCAACGAGCGCAACCCUUAAACUUAGUUGCCAGCAUUUAGUUGGGCACUCUAGGUUGACUGCCGGUGACAAACCGGAGGAAGGUGGGGAUGACGUCAAAUCAUCAUGCCCCUUAUGAUUUGGGCUACACACGUGCUACAAUGGACAAUACAAAGGGCAGCUAAACCGCGAGGUCAUGCAAAUCCCAUAAAGUUGUUCUCAGUUCGGAUUGUAGUCUGCAACUCGACUACAUGAAGCUGGAAUCGCUAGUAAUCGUAGAUCAGCU
rnacentral:rRNA from 1 species